rnacentral:rRNA from 1 species
UACAGAGGGUGCAAGCGUUAAUCGGAAUUACUGGGCGUAAAGCGUGCGUAGGCGGUUUAGUGUGUGGGAAUUGAAAGCCCGGGGCUCAACUCCGGAACCGGUUCCCAAACUGCUAGACUCGAGCAUAUCAGAGGACAGUGGAAUUCCCGGUGUAGCGGUAAUAUGCGUAGAUAUCGGGAGGAACACCAGUGGCGAAGGCGACUGUCUGGGGUAUUGCUGACGCUGAGGCACGAAGGCCAGGGGAGCAAACGGG